rnacentral:rRNA from 2 species
UUCCAGCUCCAAUAGCGUAUAUUAAAGUUGUUGCGGUUAAAAAGCUCGUAGUUGAAUUUGUGUUCCACGCUGUCGGUUCACAGCUCGCUGUGUCAACUGGCACGUCUCGUGGAACGUCCUGUCGGUGAAUGUUGUGUUGCUUCAGUUGCUGCACGCUUACCCAUACAUGCGAAAGCGCUUGUGGUAAAACACUUGUGUGGACCGUGGAUGGGGGUGUGUUUGUUUUCUGUUGUUGGCGCUUCAUUCGACUUUUAAUAGAUUCCUGUCACGGUGCUCUUAACUGAGUGUCGAGGCAGGCCGACACGUUUACUUUGAACAAAUUAAAGUGCUCAAAGCAGGCUAAAAUUUACGCCUGAAUAUUGUGUGCAUGGAAUAAUAGAACAGGACCUCGGUUCUAUUUUGUUGGUUUUCGGAACCCCGAGGUAAUGAUUAAUAGGGACAGAUGG